AUGGGCAUGGUAGAGGACGCAAAUACUUUGCAGGAGUGAGAGGACAUCACUAUGAAGUAUGAGAAGGGACACCGAACUGGGCUGCCAGAGGACAUGGGGCCUGAGCCUGUUGGAAUUCCUGCAGCACUGAUCGCUUUAGGAUUGUGCAGUGAGUCCUCUGUGCUCCCCUCACCCCUAAAUGCCCGGGAGGCAAAGCAAAUGCGGUGGGAGAUGAGAUGAAAGAGCAAGUGGAUGGAAAUGCUGGGAGAAUGGGACACAUAUCAGAACAGCAAAAAACUGAUUGAUCGAGUGUAUAAGGGCAUUCCCAUGAACGUCUGGGGACAAGUGUGGUCAGUCCUCCUGAACAUCCAGGAAGUCAAGACGAAAACCCCCUAAAAUACAAGGUACCAGGUCACGAAGGAGAAGGGCAAGAGAUCCUCUGAACACAUCCACCAGAUCGACCUGGACGUGAACUGGACACUAAGAAACCACAUCUUCUUCAGGGAUCGAUAUGGAACCAAGCAGCGGGAACUAUUCUACAUCCUCCUGGCAUAUUCAGAGUAUAACCCGGAGGUGGGCUACUGCAGGGACCUGAGCCACGUCGCUGCCUUGUUCCUCCUUUAUCUGCCUGAGGAGGAUGCAUUCUGGGCACUGGUGCAGCUGCUGGCCAGUGAGAGGCACUCCCUGCAGGGAUUCCACAGCCCAAAUGGCGGGACAGUCCAGGGGCUCCAAGACCAUCAGGAGCAUGUGGUCCCCACGUCACAAUCCAAGACCAUGUGGCAUCUGGACAAGGAAGGUCUGUGCGCACAGUGUUCCUCAUUCAGCUGGCUUCUCUGGAUGCUGAAUAUUGGGAUCUUUCUCGGGCUCAUCCUGCGCCUGUGGGACAUAUAUUUGCUGGAAGGGGAACAGAUGUCGAUGCCGAUAACAAGCACUGCCUUUAAGGUUCAGAGGAAGCGCCACAUGAAGACGUCCAGGUCUGGCCUGUGGGCACGUUUUCAAGACCAGUUCUUCCAUACCUGGGCCCUGGAUGAUGACACUGUUCUUAAUCAUCUUUGGGCCUCUAUGAAGAAACUAACAAGGAAGCAUGGGGACCUGCCACCCCCAGCCAAACCCGAGCAAGGGUCCUCGGCACCCAGGUCUGUGCCAGCUUCACGUGGCAGGAAGACCCUCUGCAACGGGGACAGGCAGGCCCUUCCCGGCCCACUAGCCCAUUUCCAGCAGCCCAUUUGGUCAGCUUCCCUACCUCGUCCCACACCCUCUCCUAGUAGGGCUGUCCAUGAGGCCAAGGCCCCACCCGGGAGUCAGGACAUACCCAACCUGGCCCCGGCUCAGGGAGGACUUUGGCGUUCCUGGAGAUUCCUGGAGUGGAACUUGAUGCCCCAGCUCCCAACAGACCUGGAUGUGGGGGACCCUUGGUUCCCCCAUGAGGAUUUCAAACAGAGCUGCUGGGUCCGCACAAUUUCCCAGGAGGAUCUGCUGGCCACCUGCUGGCAGGCUGACCACACUGCGGAGGGGUUGAGAUUGGCUUUCAGUGCACACAGCACUGCCUCCGAGCAGGACCCCCCAUUCACAGCUAGGGACAAGCAGUGCUCCCACCUCAGGGCCUUGGCUCUGCCACCUCUACUUUGAAUGUUCUCAGUUCCCUCCAGGCUUCUAGCAGCAUCUGGGCCAGGGCUCAUGGCUGGAUAAGCACCCGAGGUCCCAAACAAGUUUCUCAUCCUCGUUUUAUUUUUUGUUAAACUUAUGAAAAUGUAUUAAGAUAUGACUUACAUCCCGGGUAAGUGCAUAGCUCAAAAGACAUUCAGAGAUGGAACACACUAGCCCCCAGAUCACAAAGCCAACCAUGCCCAGCCCCUCCCAGCACUCCCAGCCCCAAAACCCGUGUUCUGACUUCUGACAACACCAUGAGCCUACCUUUGUACUUUACACUCAUGGAAGGAUAACCACCUUCAUGUUGUAAAAUAAAUGUUACUGUUG